GGUCGUCUCGCGCCCAGGAGGACCGGUUUCGAUUCCCAUCCAGACCGUAUUAUGCGUAUAUUUUCAUAUACAAAACAGAACAAUGAAGCUUUCUAGCUGCGCUGCUUUGCUGAUUGUUGCCUUGUCGGAAGUUGCUUCCGAAACAAAGAUACACCAAGGCAAUUAGCAAUUAUUUCGCCUACAAAAGCGAGCGGUCCAGAUGAUGUUCCGG